rnacentral:rRNA from 1 species
AGACCCGAAACCCGGUGAUCUAGCCAUGGGCAGGUUGAAGGUUGGGUAACACUAACUGGAGGACCGAACCGACUAAUGUUGAAAAAUUAGCGGAUGACUUGUGGCUGGGGGUGAAAGGCCAAUCAAACCGGGAGAUAGCUGGUUCUCCCCGAAAGCUAUUUAGGUAGCGCCUCGUGAAUUCAUCUCCGGGGGUAGAGCACUGUUUCGGCAAGGGGGUCAUCCCGACUUACCAACCCGAUGCAAACUGCGAAUACCGGAGAAUGUUAUCACGGGAGACACACGGCGGGUGCUAACGUCCGUCGUGAAGAGGGAAACAACCCAGACCGCCAGCUAAGGUCCCAAAGUCAUGGUUAAGUGGGAAACGAUGUGGGAAGGCCCAGACAGCCAGGAUGUUGGCUUAGAAGCAGCCAUCAUUUAAAGAAAGCGUAAUAGCUCACUGGUCGAGUCGGCCUGCGCGGAAGAUGUAACGGGGCUAAACCAUGCACCGAAGCUGCGGCAGCGACACUGUGUGUUGUUGGGUAGGGGAGCGUUCUGUAAGCCUGUGAAGGUGUGCUGUGAGGCA